AAUGUACCAGAUUCUAACUUGAAAAUAUAGCCAGAUUUGUCAAGCAUUCUUAGAGAAAUCAAAUUUCUCUUCAGUUCAACCCCUCCGUUUAUUUCGCACCAUCUUCCCUUCCUCACGGACUGGUUUUGCUCGUCGAUCUCGUAGACCACGAUUUGCAUUAGAAGUGCUUCAAAUCUAAAACACAGUUCAAGCAUCCCGUUGCCUGCUUGAGGUAAAGUUUCUGAAAAAAUUCUCCCCGUCGCGCCUCCUUUUCCAAGUGGGUUUUGGGUAUGCUUCAACCUCUUCUUUCUCAAUCUCUCUAUUCUCCUUUUGAUAAGCUAUGUAAAAAUUUUUAGUGGAUGAAAUCUAAGAUUCUCGAGCAUGUUGGUAUGAUUUUGGAUUUUUUUUUUCUUGUGCAAAUUUGGGGAUGCUCGAAUAUUUGGAGUUUUUUGUUUUAUUUUUCUUGGUCCAGCAACUCGCAACACUUUUGGAAAAUUUGGAUGCUACCUUAUUGGAAAGUUUUAUUUUUCUUGGUUCAGCAACUCGCAACACUUGUUUUAUUUUAAGGUUGAUGCCUUGAAAUCGAUUUCUUCCCAGUUUGCAGGAAGAUUUGGUUGGGAAUUUUUUUAUUAAUCGGUUGACGACUUAGAAAAAUCCUGCGUGGUUGAUUCUCCGACAUGACCAAUUUCAGUUAGGAAAGAAUACAGAUUUCUUUACAUGAUUUCCUUUUCCAAAGAUCCCGAGCAUGUAUUUGUCAACCUUUUAAAUUUGCUACAAGGUGUAUCUGCUCUUAAUUUUCCUUUGUUUCACUGAAAGAGAAACCGUGGCAAGCCACCAAGUUGAAAGAGAAACAUAUCUUUGUAAUCUUUCUAGUCAAGGGUUGUAGCCAAGCCACCAAGUCCCUAAACCUCAUUGGUUUCAAGCCUCUAGUUCUUAUGAAUGCUUUAUUUAGUGCCAAAAUGAGAAUUUGGAUGAUUGGUUAAAAUAUUCUGCUUAUACUUUCAAGCAUAUAGUGUAAUGCCAACUCUAAGGUGUACCUGCUCCAUUAUUAAGCUUAGAAGAUUGUACCAAGCAUAUAAUGUAAUGCCAACUUUAAGCAAAGCUCUAAGAUGAUAUGGAGUAUGCCUACUUGUAGAUUAUUUAAACUCCGUAUUUCCUCUGUUUUCAAUUAUAGUACCUACAGAUAUUGUAGAAACCAUUUUAAUUUUUGCCUCUCUUUUUGCUGUAGCUAGAUAAGGUAUUAAUUUUUCCCUAUGUUUUUGCAGUAGCUAGAAACCAUAUCAAUUUUUGCCUCUAAUUUUGGUUGAGUUUUUAUUAAAACAUGAGGUACUUAUCAUUUAGAAUUUUACAGACUUCUUAAUUGAGUUUGAUUGAGUUGCAUGAUCCCAACUUUUUUUGCUUUGAAGGAUGGAUUCACAAACCAUGGAGGGGGGAAGAGUAUUCUGCUAUGUGAACCUUUCUAAAAAAAUAUUGUGAAUUUAAUGGAGUUAUAUGUCUGAAAAAUGAACUCUGAGACAAGCAUUCUUCACGUGGAGUUAUAUAUGUCUGCUCUUUAGAUUUUCUUACUCAUGCUUGUUUUCAUUAGUGGGGAGUUGACUUAUAUGUUAAUCAUAUUUGUAAUCGUAUAAGGUGUCCUCCACUUUCUUCCAUUAUGAGUAAAAUAGUAUUGAUUCAUCUCGAUUCUAUAUUAUAUGAGUAUAGAACCUGUCCUUCAUUGAAAGCAUAGAGAAGAGGAUUCAAAGUACUAGCCAAAUGGGCCUGAGCACCGGGAUUCCAAGUGUACUCUCUGGAUUCCAAGUGUGAAAUAGUUUUUUUAGAUAUGUAUGCGAUGCUUGUCUUAUUUACUUUUGAGAUAUAUGCAGUGGUUUGAAGGCACAAAAACUCUUCACCACCAUCAAAAAGUUGUAUGUUGGAAUCCUUGUUUGGUUGUUUUCACAUUUAUAAUCAAGGUAUGCCACAGUUAUGAAUCUAUGAUAAGUUAGAUGAUGAUCGUGCAGGUCAAACUUGCAUCAUUUCACAACAAAUACUUGAGAAGCGAGAAGAUAGGAAAGAGAUUAUCUGUCUCGCAAAAGGGAGGCUUGAGUUGGACCAAAGGAGAGAGGAAAAGGAAUUAUGAGGAUGGACCAAAGUUUUGAAUACCGUUUCGGUGACCGUUUCAGUUAAGACAUUGGAAUAAAAUAUUUCUGUACCGGUACCGUUUCAGUGAAGAGUUAUCACGAAAUGUCAGCAUUCCAUCAGGAAACGACUUUGUGACCGUCAGUAGAGUCCUACUGCAGAUCAAAUUCAUACCAGACUCAUUCGGUUAGCAGAGUCCUACUACAUAUCAAACUCCUAUCAGAUUUGUUCUGUCAACAUAAUUCUACUGCAAUUGGAAUUGAUUUUCAGAUUAUUUAUUUAAGAGAUCCUAUUGGUUAGGAUUUUACUUAUAAAAAAAAAAAAAAGAGAUCCUAUUGGUUAGGAUCAUUAGAGAUUCAGAUCUGCAUAUUUUCUAAAGCACUUUCUAGUGCAUAUUUUGAUGAGAGAAUUCCUUGGAGAAUUUUCAUACUGUUUCUCUUAGAGAGUGGUACUUGAGUGUGAGAAAAUUCUCUUAGUGUUUUAUCUCUCAUUUUGAGUGUGUGCAUACUCCAUGUUGGAAAAUUGAUUGGUCGAGUUUCAGUCAUUGGAGUUUUAGGAGAAAAGUCAAUAUUUGAAGAUCGUUAGAGGUUCGCUGCUACUGCGGUAGAAAACAAAUGAGUCAUUUUUCUGGUCAAGUAAGAGUGUCAAUUGACAAAAGUUUUGUAAUUAAAUUUUACUUGUAAUUGAUUUUCAAAUUAGAAAAUUGACUUUUCUGGAUUUGAUUGCUCCGUAGGGUUUUUACCUUUAAAUAGUUCUUUAUAAGGUUUCCUUUCGAUACCAAUCUUGGUGUUAUUUAUUUUAUAUUAUUGUUUAAUUAAUAAAUUAAUUGCAUCCAUAACGACUAACCAAUUUGUUGAAUAAAUUUGUAGAUAUUUUCGCUGCAUUACAGGGGUACUUGGGUUAUUUCAGUAAAGAACACAGCACAAACCUGGAAGCCCAUGUGUGAAUGCAUAUUGACUAGAGCACACCACCAGUAGAUAGUUAUAUUUUGAUUCUUUUUUGUAAAUAAAGCAAGGAAAGUUGACACUAAACCGUGGGUGGUUACUAACUACAAGGAAGCUGCCACUUUAGAAGCAGCUACUUUAUAUUUAUAUUUGGAUCAUGUGUUCUCUUUUUUGAAAUUAUGAGGGUGGCACACUAAACUACCUUGUAUGAAUAUUGUGGUGUAUUUUGGAUGUAUGAAUAUUAAUUUCUGAAUAUUGUGGAUGUAUGUAUUCAAGUUGUGAA